AGUGAACGCUGGCGGUAGGCCUAACACAUGCAAGUCGAACGGCAGCACAGUAAGAGCUUGCCCUUACGGGUGGCGAGUGGCGGACGGGUGAGGAAUACAUCGGAAUCUACUUUUUCGUGGGGGAUAACGUAGGGAAACUUACGCUAAUACCGCAUACGACCUACGGGUGAAAGCAGGGGAUCUUCGGACCUUGCGCGAUUGAAUGAGCCGAUGUCGGAUUAGCUAGUUGGGGGGGUAAAGGCCAACCAAGGCGACGAUCCGUAGCUGGUCUGAGAGGAUGAUCAGCCACACUGGAACUGAGACACGGUCCAGACUCCUACGGGAGGCAGCAGUGGGGAAUAUUGGACAAUGGGCGCAAGCCUGAUCCAGCCAUACCGCGUGGGUGAAGAAGGCCUUCGGGUUGUAAAGCCCUUUUGUUGGGAAAGAAAAGCAGCAGGUUAAUACCCCGCUGUUCUGACGGUACCCAAAGAAUAAGCACCGGCUAACUUCGUG
rnacentral:rRNA from 1 species